rnacentral:rRNA from 1 species
AUUAAAGCGGUACGCGAGCUGGGUUUAGAACGUCGUGAGACAGUUCGGUCCCUAUCCUCUGCGCGCGCAGGAGACUUGAGAAGGGCUGUCCCUAGUACGAGAGGACCGGGACGGACGAACCUCUGGUGUGCCAGUUAUCCUGCCAGGGGUAUGGCUGGUUUGCUACGUUCGGGAUGGGUAACCGCUGAAAGCAUCUAAGCGGGAAACUAGCUUCGAGAUUAGGUUUCCGUCCCCGUUUUUUGGGGGGGAGGUUCCCGGUAGAUUACCGGGUUGAUAGGCUAGGAGUGUAGACAUUGUAAGGUGACCAGCUUACUAGUACUAAUUGACCGAUAACUAACAAUAUUAAAGUUUGU